UACGGAGGAUGCAAGCGUUAUCCGGAAUGAUUGGGCGUAAAGCGUCCGCAGGUGGCUGUGUAAGUCUGCUGUCAAAGAGCGAAGCUCAACUUCGUAAAGGCAGUGGAAACUACACGGCUAGAGUGCGUUCGGGGCAGAGGGAAUCCCUGGUGUAGCGGUGAAAUGCGUAGAGAUCAGGAAGAACACCGGUGGCGAAGGCGCUCUGCUAGGCCGUAACUGACACUGAGGGACGAAAGCUAGGGGAGCGAACGGG
rnacentral:rRNA from 1 species